AUACGGAGGGUGCAAGCGUUAAUCGGAAUUACUGGGCGUAAAGCGUACGUAGGCGGUUUAUUAAGUCAGAUGUGAGAGCCCCGGGCUUAACCUGGGAACUGCAUUUGAAACUAGUAGACUAGAGUAUGGUAGAGGGGGGUAGAAUUCCUAGUGUAGCGGUGAAAUGCGUAGAUAUUAGGAGGAAUACCAGUGGCGAAGGCGGCCCCCUGGACCAAUACUGACGCUGAGGUACGAAAGCGUGGGGAGCGAACAGGAUUAGAUACCCCAGUAGUCC
rnacentral:rRNA from 1 species